GGGUGGCCUGCAUGUUGGCCCAGCUCUCUGGCCCCAAAAGAAAAGCUCUGUGUGUGAUUGAUUGAUGCUCCAGAGCUCUGAGGGAGGACCAAGCUGAGACAGGGGCUUUUGCAGGCCUUGCACCCUGGCCCAGCCCUGCCCUGUCCAUCCUGCGCCUCUGCAUUCCCCUUACCCUGGGGGGUAUGUAGCCUUAGGAAGUCUUGAGGACAUGAACCUACAGUUUGGCUCUGCUCCUGGGAGCUCGACUGGGGUUUAAGUGGGCCUGGGUGAAUGUGGAGCCAAUGGGGAAGGGGGAUUGUACGUCUUCUGUGCACUUGCUCUCUCUCAGAUACAAAGGCAACCCCAUCCUCUUGCUCCCACAGGAGAGCUCAUGGAUGCAUCACAGGCCCCGUGGUAGAAGGACCUCACCAAGGCAUGAGGUCAGACAGUGGCACACCAACCAUCUGAACCCAGGCCUGCUGCCCCAAAGCUGCACGGCUGUCCCUAUGGUCUUGGGUUCAGUGCAGCACCAGCAACUGGGUUGAGAGCCAUCUCAAGAUCUGCUCCCCAGCGCUAACCCCUGCACCCCCUCUGGGGGCUGAAGCCCCAGGCUCCAUCUGGCCAGGGGGUCAGCUUGCAGGCAGGCAGACCGACCCUCUCUGCUGGUGGACCUAGGCCUGGCCCCCAGGUCCAUAGCGAUGGUGGUGGCAAACCGUGGAACCAGAGAGGUGCAGGCAUGGAUCAGAGGCGCAUGCUCCUGGAAUUCCUCAGGGAGCCAUGGGGGAAUGACAUCAUGUCCAUAGCCCUCAUUCCUGAGUGAACAGGAGCAAGAAUCCCCUGGGCUCCCCAGGAAAUCCUGACUGGGUAGGUCCGGGCUGGCCCUUGAUCCUCAUUUUCAAUAGGCCUUCCUCGUGAUGCUGAUUCCUGAAGGCUCCAGGUGACUGGCCCGUGGUCCUCCCUUUGCACCUAGUCAUCCCUGCUCCUCUUACUCCUUCACUGGUUACCCCCAACACGGAGGCCGGUGACCACACUGGUGACCGCAUGGUAUCUGUGCUGUGGGUCAGUGAUCUGCGCACACACUGAGGUGCAGCAGGAGGAGUUGGGUCCCUGCCUCGAGCCCCCACGACGUUGCCUGAGCUGUAGCCCCUGCAGGACUGGAAGCGUCCUCGCAGGCAGGAGUCGGUUCCUUUUGGGCAUCGCGAGCAUCCGUCCUUGGUUUCCUGCCAUGCGGAUUCCUCCGGCUUGACCGCUUGCCUCAUCCAGGCACUAGCCAGCCAAGGAGAGUGAGUUCAAGCUGGACACGAGUCACCGUCUUUCACAGCCCAGCCUCGGAAGUGACAUCUCAUCACCUCUGCGCCCCCCUCCCCUGCCCGGGACAGGUGAAGAUUGCUCAAGGGUCUGGAUACCAGGAGGUGGGGGGCACCUGCCAUCCCCGGUGACUCAUCGCGCUACGGCGCCAGCGUGAAGCUGGGAAUCCUGGAGGCUCCGUGAGGUGCAGGAGCUUCCUCAAACGUCCGUGGGUCUCCUGUGUGUCUCCCUGGGGUGUCUCCAUUGGAUGGAGCCACGGUCACAACUGUCCCCGAGGUCAGCCCCUCCUCUACCGCGAGGCUCCUGCAAACAGAGUCCACAUCCGUAUUUCUGCUCGUGGUCUGCUCUAGGGCCCUUCAGGUCGCCUCCUCUUGCCCCUCAGGGCCUCCAGCUUGUGCACUGCCCCUCCACACCUGCUGACACACCUGCUGUCACACCUUCCGGGACUGGGGCAGUGCACCGCUGCUCUCGGACCUUUCAGACCACCUGUUGUCAGCACAUUCUCAAAUAGAAGAUUACUGGCAGUGCCCUGGAAGGGAUUGGCAGUCCAGAGAACUGAAUAACCCAGAAGUGGUGACGAUUCUCUCAGGACUAGAGGACAUUGUGUGAGGUCAGGAAACAGGCAUGGUUGCUGUCCAGCCUGCACCAGUCACCCCUGGAGACGUGAGGCUCUGCAGGCAGGGGUAGCUGCCCCACACCAGGCUUUCACUGUCUUCUGCUCUAGCUUCAUGGCUCUUGCUCAGGGCUUCCAGCCUGCUUGCCCGUGACGGCCCGACCGAUGCCUGUCCAGCUGUCGACUGAAGGCAGGGAAUCCUUGUGAGCUCUGCGAGGCUUUGCCUGUGGCAUCUCAGAGCUGGCCAGGUACCCUCCCUGAUGGCCAAGCCCCAGGCCCAUUGUGAGGGCUCUUUGUGGGCAUGAUUUCCUCUUGUGUGAGUGUUGGUUUGCAUUUAAACUUAUUCGAGCAAGAGAAGAAGCAGAAAAAGAGCUGUGGUCCUGGCUUGGUUUUUCCCUCAAAAGGUUGCAUUUGCAAGACACUCACUGACUUUUGGUCUAAGAGAGGAGCUCAAGGCUAAAUCCAGUGUAUUUAGAAAUGAACAGAAGGGGAAGGACUAUUAGAGCGGGGCUGACUGUAGAGAGCCAGAGUGGCCCUUGUUGGGAAAUGUAGAACCUACACUUAUUGAAUAAGAAACACAUAUGAUUGAAAGACUCUGAACCUGGUACUUACCCACGAAUGUAGAAAAGAGCCAGCUAUGUAAACCUAAGGGAAAGAAGGAAUAAAAAUAAAUGCAGAAGAUUCUGAAGCAUAAGUAAGUGGGAAACAUCAGUAGAUAAGACCCAUAAAAUCCCUGUCUGGGUUUUGGGAAAUGGCUCUUCCCUCUCCCAGCACUCACACGAGCUCAACAUAAACGUCUUGCAAAUCUGACCCACUAAGAGAGCAGAUGGAGCAGUAGAGAGGCAAAGAAUUCAAAUAUAAGAGGUUAAUAUAUCAAUUUUAUAUCAGCACAUUUGGGAAUCCAGAUAGAAUGAACGAUUUCCUUAGAAAAUGGAGUCAGUAACGUCAAACUGCCUUAGGAAGAAGAAUUCUGAAGGCACCAAACGUUACAGAAGAAAUGGAAAAUGUAGUCAAAGUUGUGACUCCACCGGAGGCAUUGUGCUCACGUGGUUUUAGAGACUCAUGUGAAUUUAAAGAAACUGUCUAUUCCCCCAUUGUUGAACCUAAGAGAUUAUAAAAAGAAAAAAGUUUUCCUGUAAUUCGACAAAGGCAGAACACGCUUGAGAUUCAAGUUGGAUGGAACAAAAAAGUAUAUAAAAUAGACAAAUCCUAAAUAUCGUAUUUCAUAAGGACAUUUAAAAAAAUCUUUCCAGUGUUGUCAGAAAAAAUACUUGUCUGCCUAACACACGUAGAUUGUUGAGAUUGUUUGUGAAUUAUCAACAUUGUAUUAUAUUAAAUAUGUAAAUAUUUAAAAGGGAGAGACCAAUUUUAAUUAUUUGCAUGUAAGAAAUCCAAGAUAAUCAAUCACAAUAAUUUGAACUGAUUCGGUUUAAUUACAUUGCUGGAUCCAAGAAAAAUUUACAAAAUGUAAUUAUUUUCCUAAAUGCCAGCCACGGAAUAGUGUAUUCUUUAAAUAAAAAGAUUGUAUUCACAUUAUCAUUGAAAACUGACAAUGUUGCAUAAUAAAUGUAAAAAAGAUACAUGUGAUAUGUAUUGGUCUGGACUGACUUGUGUCCUCCUCAUAUGCACAUGUUGAAGUCCCAACUCCCGAGGCUUUGGAAUGAGCCCUUAUUUGCAAGUAUAGUCAUUACAGCUGGGGUGGGUUACACUAAAAGGAGGUCAUGCCAGAGGAGGGCGAACUUCUAAUCCAACAGGACUAGUAACCAUAUAAAAAGGGGGAAUUUGGAGAGAGAUAUGCACGCAGGGAGGAUGCCAUGUGGAGAUGGGGGCAGAGAUUGGGUGAUGCUUCUAAGAAGCCAAAGAUGGCCAGCCAAGCACCGGAAGGGGGGACAGAGGCUUGGAACACGUCUUCACUUCAUUGUCGGAAGGGACCAAUCCUGUGGACACUUUGAUCUUGGACUUGCGACCUCUAGAAUUGCGAGAUGACACAUAGCUGCUGUUGAAGUCCCCGGGGCUGUGGUGCUUUGUGAUGCUAUCCCUCGCUAACGGAUACGGCUAUUUAUAACUGACGAGCUCAAGGUCUUUGCUGAAAGAUCUAAAAGGAGACUUGAACAAAGAGAGAGAUCCACCAUAUUCACAGAUGGAAAGUCUAAUAAUUGUGAACAGAGCAUCCUUGCACCCCCAAGUUAAUAUAAAAAAAAAUCACUACAAUAACAGUAGAUUCAGAGAAGUGAGCAUUUUCAAGAACUGUUUGUAAAGGUAACGUGUCCUUAUUUAACAAAAUGGACACUUCACAUACUGUAUUUUUUUUUAAGAUUUUAUUUACUUAUUCAUGAGAGGCAGAGACACAAGCAAAGGGAAAAGUAGGCUCCAUGCAGGGAGUCCGACUUGGGACUCGAUCCUGGAUCUCCAGGAUCACACCCUGGGCUGAAGGCGGUGUUAAACUGCUGAGCCACCCGGGCUGCCCUCACAUACUGUAUUUAAGGAUUUUACUAAAUCUUACAUUAAAGAGUCUAUUCUUUAAGAAUAAUUGCAUCUGGUUUCAAAGAGGUGGGUUCAAGAAAUCUCACUGCAGCAUAGUGUAUACCGGAAAAUAAUGGGAAAGAAAACAACCCUUGAAUAAUCACCAAUAAGGAUUGACAAACUAAAUUAUGGUAAAUGCAAAGUCUAGAAUUUAAUGCAUUGGUUAGAGUAAUAUGAUGUCUGUAUGUGUCACUGACAUGGGAAAAUGCCUUUGAUACAUUUUUAUAAGUGAUCGAAGCAGGUUUGCCCAGAAUGCGAAUACCAUGGCACUUUUUUCACCGCACCAGCUGGAGUCCAAAGAUACCAGACCGAGGGGAGGUCCUGCCUCUGUCUCUGUCUCUCUCUCUCCUCCUCUCUCUCGAUGAGGUCCAACCUCUUCCCUUGCCCCAGUCCUCCCAGGGAUGAUGUAAUCCCUACAAAAGUCAUGCUGCCCUUGCCCUGUCCUGCAGGGAGAAGGCCUGGUGUCCAUCCGUCGGCAGUGGUCCUCACAGACAUGGAGGUUCAGCUGGGAGUCCUAGGUCCAGGCCGGGGUGAUGCUUGCCUCCCUCUGUCCCUCCCUGGCCACCAAGGACGUUCCAGGAAUGGUGGCUUCUGUGUGGCUCCUCUUUUUCCUCGAUAGCCUCCGCUGCAGGCAUGGGGCUGGCUUCGGUUCCUCAGCUCUUUGAGGUUGCAAGCUCCCCCGUCUGCAGAUGGUGAGUCAGAGUGAGCUCUCCACGGUUCGUCCCACUCCCCAAAACCUAAAAUCAGGGCAUGCACCUUGGGCCUCCCUCUGCGUUCCCUGUCCUCCCUUGGGGCCUGCCUGUUUCCAUCAUCCUUGACCAAGUCCCACUAUGGAGCCAGCUCUGCACAACACAGAAGCCACUGUUCUUAGAGCAGCCCUGUGACCCAGCAGUCUCUUCCUUUGGGGACCUCAAGCACAAACACUAGAGAGCGCGUUGUAGGUUUGUGUUUCAUGUUUCAUGUUUCAUUCCUCCAGCCAUAGCCACCUUUGCUCAAAAGCACUGGUGUUUCUCUUGGUAAAGGCAGGAGGAGAAAAAGUCAAGACGUAAGGUAGAUAUUCAUUUGGUUACUUCACUACAUUCUUAAAAACAAAAACCAAAAAGCUCCUUUCCAAACCUAUACCACGAUCCCGCACAUCCUAAACAAGUGGACAGAGGUCUGGAAGCAUUCACAGCAAGCAGCUCAUGGAGUAAACUCAAGAUAGGAUCAUCUGUC